rnacentral:rRNA from 1 species
AGUGAACGCUGGCGGUAGGCCUAACACAUGCAAGUCGAACGGCAGCACAGUAAGAGCUUGCUCUUACGGGUGGCGAGUGGCGGACGGGUGAGGAAUACAUCGGAAUCUACUUUUUCGUGGGGGAUAACGUAGGGAAACUUACGCUAAUACCGCAUACGACCUACGGGUGAAAGCAGGGGAUCUUCGGACCUUGCGCGAUUGAAUGAGCCGAUGUCGGAUUAGCUAGUUGGCGGGGUAAAGGCCCACCAAGGCGACGAUCCGUAGCUGGUCUGAGAGGAUGAUCAGCCACACUGGAACUGAGACACGGUCCAUACUCCUACGGGAGGCAGCAGUGGGGAAUAUUGGACAAUGGGCGCAAGCCUGAUCCAGCCAUACCGCGUGGGUGAAGAAGGCCUUCGGGUUGUAAAGCCCUUUUGUUGGGAAAGAAAAGCAGCAGGUUAAUACCACGCUGUUCUGACGGUACCCAAAGAAUAAGCACCGGCUAACUUCGUG